rnacentral:rRNA from 1 species
GACGAACGCUGGCGGCGUGCCUAACACAUGCAAGUCGAACGGGGUUUAGAAUGAAGCUUGCGAUUUCUAAACCUAGUGGCGGACGGGUGAGUAACGCGUGGAUAACCUGCCUGGUAGACCGGGAUAACAGCUGGAAACGGCUGCUAAUACCGGAUACGCUCUUGGUGNCGCAUGGUGCCGAGAGGAAAGGUGGAGCCGCUAUCAGAUGGAUCCGCGUCCCAUUAGCUGGUUGGUGGUGUAGCGGACCACCAAGGCGACGAUGGGUAGCCGGCCUGAGAGGGCGACCGGCCACACUGGGACUGAGACACGGCCCAGACUCCUACGGGAGGCAGCAGUGGGGAAUCUUCCGCAAUGGGCGAAAGCCUGACGGAGCAACGCCGCGUGAGGGAAGAAGGCCUUCGGGUUGUAAACCUCUGUCCUAAAGGAAGAAAGAAAUGACGGUACUUUAGGAGGAAGCCCCGGCUAACUACGUGCCAGCAGCCGCGGUAAAACGUAGGGGGCGAGCGUUGUCCGGAAUUACUGGGCGUAAAGGGCGCGUAGGUGGUNCAUUAAGUUAGAGGUGAAAGUGCGGGGCUUAACCCCGUGAUUGCCUCUGAUACUGGUGGACUUGAGUGCAGGAGAGGGGAGCGGAAUUCCCAGUGUAGCGGUGAAAUGCGUAGAUAUUGGGAGGAACACCAGUGGCGAAGGCGGCUCUCUGGACUGCAACUGACACUGAGGCGCGAAAGCGUGGGGAGCAAACAGGAUUAGAUACCCUGGUAGUCCACGCCGUAAACGAUGAGUGCUAGGUGUUGCGGGUAUCGACCCCUGCAGUGCCGCAGUAAACACAAUAAGCACUCCGCCUGGGGAGUACGGUCGCAAGACUGAAACUCAAAGGAAUUGACGGGGGCCCGCACAAGCGGUGGAGUAUGUGGUUUAAUUCGACGCAACGCGAAGAACCUUACCAGGGCUUGACAUCGCGCGACAGCUCUAGAGAUAGAGGGUUCUGCCUUAGGGUAGACGCGCAGACAGGUGGUGCAUGGUUGUCGUCAGCUCGUGUCGUGAGAUGUUGGGUUAAGUCCCGCAACGAGCGCAACCCCUAACAUUAGUUGCCAGCGAGAGAGACGGGGACUCUAAUGUGACUGCCGUUGACAAAACGGAGGAAGGUGGGGAUGACGUCAAAUCAUCAUGCCCCUUAUGUCCUGGGCUACACACGUACUACAAUGGCCGGUACAAACGGAGGCGAAGGCGUGAGCCGGAGCAAAACUGAGAAAGCCGGUCUCAGUUCGGAUUGUAGUCUGCAACUCGACUACAUGAAGUCGGAAUCGCUAGUAAUCGCAGGUCAGCAUACUGCGGUGAAUACGUCCCGGGC